rnacentral:lncRNA from 1 species
CUUGGUGAAUGUAUUGUGAUCAAGAAGUGCUUGGUGAAUGUGUAGUAAUGUUGUCCUUUAGCUGCUAAGUCGUGUCUGACUCUUUUGUGACCCUAUGGAGUAUACAGCCCACCAGGGUCCUCUGUCCAUGGAAUUUCCCCCAGGCAAGGAUACUAGAAUGGGUUGCCAUUUCCUUCUCCAAGGGUCAUCCUGACCCACGGAUUGAACCCAUGCCUCCUGCAUUGGCAGGCGGAUUCUUUACCACUGAGUCACCAGGGAAGCCCAAAACAGUAUCUGUAAGCAGCAUUAGCUCCAUCUCAGGUUCUGCAUCCACGGAAGAUGCACCCAGCAGCAUUGGGUUUCUCAGGGACAAGGGGCUUGUAUGGGUGUCUGGCCUCCUCUCCAGCAGCCUUCUCGAAAGACUGAAGCAAAUGAAGCUUUCCUGCACAGCCCUCGGACUAGUCACUGAUUACCCUGAGGGCGGUAAUCUCUUGGUACUGCAGCUCAGAUAUGAAUUUUAAAACAUGCUAAUCUGAACAGAAAAAGUCCCCUUGAGGGGGGGGAAAAAAGAAAUAUGUUAAAAAAGAAGUUCAUUUUUUGAUUUCUCCUCACUUUGGACUUUUUUUAAUUUAAAAAGAAGAAGAAAAUGAAUCUUUUACUAUGAACAUCAUUAUGUUAUAUAAGAGAAAUGAGCAAAGCUCAGUCCACCAAAGCUCAUAUGAGGGUUAAGUUAAAGGAACUCUCUCAAGAUUCCAUUCUGUGAUGAAACUUCAUGUACAGAAUACCACCAAUAAGUACACGAUAACAUUGAAAUUGUAUAAAAGAAUUUAUUUGCAUACAAAGUCCUUCUAAUUUCUUCAUUUGGGUUUUUCUUGCUUUGCAGAAAUUCACAUGUUCUUUCUCAUAUCAAAUGCCCUCUAGACAUGAUAAAAUUUUAAAUAAUAGUGAGAGAUAGGAAAGGUGCAUUUGCACUGACUACAUAAAUCUAUACUAGUGGACACACCGUAUUUUUUCAUUGGGAUAAUUAUAUAGUUGGCUUAGAUUUUACACAUACAGGCCACCAUCGCCGAAUAAGAAAAACCUCUGCUUCACCACUGGUAGCACUGGCACCCCCAAGACAAAUACAGAAU